rnacentral:rRNA from 1 species
CCCUUAGAUGUCCGGGGCUGCACGCGCGCUACACUGAAGGAAUCAGCGUGCUAAAACCAUUGUCGAAAGGCAUUGGUAAACCCAUUAAAAUCCUACGUGAUUGGGAUCGGGAAUUGCAAUUAUUUCCCUUGAACGAGGAACUCCCAGUAAGUGUGGGUCAUAAGCUCGCGUUGAUUACGUCCCUGCCCUUUGUACACACCGCCCGUCGCUGCCCGGGACUGAGCCGUUUCGAGAAAAGCGGGGACUGCUGCUGUCGGGGCUUUCGGGCCUUGGCUUCGGUGGAAACCGCUUUAAUCGCAGUGGCUUGAACCGGGCAAAAGUCGUAACA